rnacentral:rRNA from 1 species
UACAGAGGUGGCAAGCGUUGUUCGGAUUUACUGGGCGUAAAGCGUGUUCAGGCGGCUCAGCAAGUCGGGCAUGAAAUCUCUCGGCUCAACCGGGAGAGGCUGUCCGAUACUGCUGGGCUUGAGGGCAGUAGAGGGUGGUGGAAUUCCGGGUGUAGUGGUGAAAUGCGUAGAUAUCCGGAGGAACACCAGUGGCGAAAGCGGCCACCUGGACUGUACCUGACGCUCAAACACGAAAGCUAGGGGAGCGAACGGG